rnacentral:lncRNA from 1 species
UAGCUUUCUCCACCUACCUACGUCUUCAGGGCUAUACUAUAUAUUCCGUACUCCAUCUCAGAUCUAGGGUUAGCAAAGUUUAGACCAAAUUCUUGAGAGAGCUUUGCUCAUCUACCUCUCCUUUGGUAAUCAACACCUCCAGUUUGGGGAAGAAUCCUCUUGGAUUAUCAAGACCCCAUCUCUCCUAGAGAUUUGGGAAGAUUAUCUCUCAAGACCUCCAAUUCCUCUUGGAUUUGGGGAUGAACUAUCCUUGUUACCUUCUUUUCCUCUCCUUUGGUGAUCAGCACCUCCAAUUCCUCAGAUCUUGAGGUGUAUUUCUCUUUGGAAUGAGAUUUGAGUACUUUGGUGGUGAAUCUUGUCUAUGUGAGUGUUUUCUCUAUGUUUCCCCCGUUGUUCAUCGUGUUUCACCUCAAAUCGUGAAGAUCAGGCCACCAAACAGCUUCCCCAUAUCACUUGGUAUCAUGUGCAGGUUGCCACAAUUUGGAGUCCCUCUCCCUCAUAUUUCUAGACAAAUUUUGUUUUUGUUCUUCCCAGUUUCAAAAAUCCCCACAAAAAUAGUCACCCGAUUUCAAGCGAUUUGUUGUUUCUGGUGAGUUUUGGUUAGAUUUGAUCCACGGAUCUGGUGAUAUGUGAGUUGAUCUGCCUUUGAUUUUCUUUAACUACCUCCAAUUUCGAGUUCUUCCUCAAGUUGACCCACACCAGCCUAGGCGAAGUUGGUCUAUCCAACUUAGUCCAGAAUAUCGGACUAUCCGACCUUGGUCUGACUUGACUACAACUUCAGCAACUUUGCCAGCAAGUUGGGCAUCUUGCUGGCUUCGACGUCCGGCUUCUUCAACAAGAAUGCCAAGUACAUCUAGGGCCAGUUCGUUUGGCGGCUUAAAAAAUAAGCCGCCUCCUCCCCAGCUUUUCCCAUAAGCCGUCUCCCUCAUUCAUUUGUGCUUCUGAACUAGUUAUGGUAUAAUUAAUUUAGAAGUCACAGCAAAUUUAGGGAGCGGCUUAUUUUUUAAGCUGGGGAGAGACAGCUUAUUUUUUAAGCCGCCCAAAAGAACUUAGCCCCUACACAGCCUCCAUCAACAACCAAGCUCGGCUACGAUGAUGAUAUGUCAUCCUUUUAACACAAACACCAAAAGCAAGGCGGGUGCCCUCCGAUUUUGUCAAGGUAGAGGUGUCAACGAGGUAUGUCAUUCCGUCACACAACUUUGUCUUCCUUGCCACUACCCUUGUGAGCCAUCCAUUUGUGAAUAUCAAUCAUGGGCACUCAACGUGGACAAAAUGCUCCGUGUCCACAACUUUGACAAGGUGAAGAAAAUGGCAAUGGCCUCGCUCGAGUUUGAUGAGUACGUCCACAUACGGUGGGAACAACUCACAGAACAUUGACAAGAGCAAGGAGAGGUCCCCAUUGAAGCAAGUCAUGAGAGCGAGAUUUGUGCACAUGCACCAUACCCGCAACCUCUUCAAGAAGCUCCAAGUACUCAAGCAAGGCACCAAGACCGUCGAAGAGUACUACAAGGAGAUGGAAAUCGCAAUUCUCUGAGCCAAUGUGAAGGAAUCCGAUUUGCAAACAAUGGCUCGCUUCCUCAAUGGACUCAACCACCUAAUCAAGCGGAUUGCGGAUUUCCAACCAUACAACUACUUGCUAGAGUUGGUUCGCCAAACAACAAAAACGGAGCAACAAGUGCAAGAAGAUGUAAGUACUGCAAGUACUCCUACACUUCACGGAACUUCAACACCAACACUCAAGCUUCACCAAGCACGACGCCUUAUACUUAGACAACAGACACUAGUGGUGCCCCAUCAAGCUCCAAAGUACCGGCGACCUCUCCAAGUCGUCCUCCUUUCAAGCGCUCCCAAGCCUAGAAUUACUCCUGCAAAUCCUUCAAGGGUCUCGACCAAAAAUCCAAGCAAUGAAUGCUUGACUUACAAGGGGCACAGCCACAAGUCAAUUUAGCGCCACACCAAGCGGACCAUGAUCAUCAAUGAAGAUGGAGAGUGAAUAUUAUAUUGAAGAAGAAUUGGAAGCUACACCGACAAGUCAACAAAGACGAAGAUGAUCAAGUCUUCUGCAACAACGACUAAAGCCCCGCCCUUGUUGUCUCCAAGAUCUUGACCUUCAACAACAAAAUGAUGAUGACCAAAGAUGUCAUAUCUUCCACACUAAGCAGGCAUCCAAGGAAAGUCUAUCAGGGUCAUCAUUGAUGGUGGUAAUUGCCACCAUUUGGCAAGUGAGGAACUUCACGCCAAGUUACAUCUCACAAAGAAGCGACAUCCUCAUCCAUACAAAGUGCAAUGGCUAAGUGAUUCCAGCACUAUCAAGGUUGAGCAUACUAUUGAAGUCCCAUUCAAGAUUGGAGCAUACGAGGAUACCUUGGGAUGCGAUGCGGUCGCUACGACCGUUUGCCAUCUCUUAUUGGGACGCCCUUGGCAGUAUGACCGCAGUGUCAUUCACAAUGGGCGCACCAAUCACUAUAGCUUCAAGUGGAAGGGCAAGGAAUGUGCUUCGGCCGAUGACUGCGAGUCAAAUCAUCGUCAAUAAAUCUCAAGCUUCAACCUUUGCAUGCUAUAUGGGAAUCUAGUAAUGGAGUGACCCGCCAUAAAGUGAGUGAGCGUCACAAGCCAAAAAUGAGUGCUUCCAUGUUGAACGCCAACAAGGACAUUAACCUCUUGACCACCAAAAAAGGAAUGUGAGGCAGAGCCCAUCACACGUGCUUUACUUUGUAUUCUUGUACAAAAAUGAAGUCAUGUUGACUAACGAUUCACCCACGCUUCCUUUUGUGAUGACUUGCGUUUUGUAGGAAUUUGAGGAUGUUUUCCCACCGGGCAUACCUCCACU